AUGUCCGCCGCGUACGACCGCACGGCCGACCUCCGAGCGCUGGACGCCACCUGCUCCGGCGUCCACGGCCUCGCCGCCUCCGGCAUCACGCAGCUCCCCCGUAUUUUCCGCGCCCCCGACCACCACCACGAAUCACGGCCACCGCAAGCUCUCUUCCAAGAAUCGCCCUCGUCAUCGGCGUCCAUUCCGGUGAUUGACGUCGGUAGCCCCGACCGCGCCGCCGUGGUGGCUGCCGUCGGCCGGGCCGCGGCGGAGUGGGGAUUCUUCCAGGUGACGGGUCACGAUGUGCUUCUCGAGUCUAUGGCCGCGGCGACGGACGCUACGCGGGUAUUCCACGAGGCCGACGGCUGCGAGGGCAGUGACAAGGCCAGGCUCUACUCGCGUGCGCCUGACAAGGCGGUCAAGUACCACUGCAACUUCGACCUGCACCAGUCGCCCGUGGCGAACUGGCGCGACACGCUCUACCUCCGCAUGGCCCCUGACCCGCCCGACCGCGGCGACCUGCCGGACAGCUGCCGCGAUGUGUUGUUCGAAUACGCCAAGCAAUUAAAGAUGUUGGGGAAGACUUUGUUCGAUCUGCUCUCGGAAGCUCUUGGGCUCAAACCGAGCUACCUGACAGAUAUAGAGUGCAACCAAGGACAGGUGAUAGUAUGUCACUACUACCCUCCAUGCCCCCAGCCUGAACUCGCCAUCGGGACAAGCCGGCAUUCAGACUAUGGCUUCCUAACCAUACUUCUCCAAGACGAAAUUGGUGGCCUUCAAGUCCUCCAUGAUGACCGGUGGGUCGAUGUCACACCGACACCUGGAGCUUUCAUCGUGAACAUCGGUGAUCUCUUACAGCUGGUCUCCAACGACGGGUUCAGGAGUGUGGAACAUAGAGUUUUGGCGAAGAACACUGCGCCGAGGGUAUCGAUCGCGUGCUUCUUCAGCACGCAGUUCCACCCUGCCUCGACAAGGAUGUAUGGUCCAAUCAAGGAAUUGUUGUCCAAUGAGAAUCCACCGUUGUACAGGGAGACACUUGUAAGAGAUUACGUGAAGCAUUACUUCUCCAUCGGGUUAGAUGGGAAAACUGCGAUCUCUGAUUUCAGGUUGUGA
rnacentral:rRNA from 1 species